GGCUGGAGGGGAGCGCGGAUGCGGCUCCCGGUUUUUUUUUUUUUCCCCCAUUUUUUUUUUUUUAUGAAUGAAGGGCAGCGGCAGCUGCGCAUGCACCGCGCCCCCCGCCCGGGGCUGGAGGACCAUAAUUUUAUCCAUGUCUGGGAAAUUUCCAUUACUGCUGGGGAAAGGGGCUUGUCCUCCUGAGUGAAGACUGGGAUCUGACUUGAAGCAAGCCAAGAGAAGCAAAGCCUCUGUGUGAACAUCACAGAAUAGAAGAAAAAAGUGAUGUACAAAACAAGGGAAAGAAAUCAGGCUGGAUUCAACUCAGGAUCCAGCCCUUUAUAAUGCUGGGCUGAGGGGGGACUCUUUCUUCAUCCCACUGCUUUUCCAGACUCCCCACUGUGUGUUCCUGCAGGAAUUCUCCUGCCCAGCACUUUGGUUUUCAGAUUUGUCCCCUGGUACAGCCGUGGUUCUGCUGAGACUGGUCCCCUGGCAGCAGCAGGAUAUUGAAGGAUUUAAGCUGAGAUCUCCACAGCCCCCUGCUCUGACCCUCCUUUCCACCCCAGACACAGCUCCCUCAGCCCUACAUUUCCUCCAGGCAGGCACAAAAGCCACACGGGGGUGAAGUUACUGUUUGGGGGGAAGAGAUCCAAGUUCUGUGUGGGGUGAUGCUCACACCUGAGCUGUCUCUGGUGAGGGAGGUGAGGUGCUGCCCCGGCCCUGGUGUCUCCAUGUGAUCUCCUCUGUGUGCUUCAGCAAGUCAAGCUCUUUUCACAGAAAAUCUAGAUUAUUUCCUGUGAUAGGAAUCCCUGGCUGCGUGGCCCCCUUUUGAGCAGAGAAUUGCUGCAGCUCAGUGUUGAACUGGCCGAAUCCCCGCGGGGCCGGGGCCAGCAGCUCGUCUGGCCAGGCCCCUGCGUCCCCUCGGUGGUGUGGUCUGUACAGAGAUUUCCUUCCAUGAAGUAAUGGGAUGAAAGCAGGAAAAGGAGACUUUUUGUAGAGAUGAACAUGAGCUUCAUCCUGAAGAAUCUGCAGUGUCCAGGCAGUUUGAAAAAACAGCCCGUGUCUGAUUGGAACCCACAGGAGGCGGGAAGGGAGCCCAGAUGCUGUGCCAAAGCCUGAAGGCAUCACCAGACCAAUCACAGAAAGGUGCUGUGGAUGUUGGAGGCUGGGAAGUGAGAAGUGCUGUCACAGAAGUGCCAUCACAGGUGGGGGCCAGAGUCCCAAGGACAUUCCAGGUACAGUCAUGUUUUCAGCCUUGACACUCCAUUUAAAAUCCCCACAGAUUCAUCCUGCCUUUCAUACACAGAGUUCUGUAGUGCUUGGAGAGAAGUGGAUUUAUGAACAGAAAAUACAUGGCACAGAACAACUCUAGAUAUAGGAAGUUGCUUUAAAUGUCAUGUAUUCCCACAGCUAUACUAUGGAAAAUAUUUUAUAGUCACUGUUUAUAUGUGUUUAUAGAUUGUAAAAAUGUCUCUCUAGGACUGAGCUGUGCUACUGGUGCGUUGGGAUGGAGCCAGCACCUCACUGUGUGGGUUUGCUGUGGUGCUUGGGGUGCCCUGGCAGACACUGAGCACACACACUCACACACGUGUGCAUACACACAGAAUCUCCAAACACUCGGCUCUCAACUCUUUAGUAUUAAAAAAAAUCUGCAAAAGCAGCUGCAAGAAGGGGAAACUACUCCUGGAAAUGGAUCCCAGACUCCUGCAGAGAGUAAAAACCUCUGGGAGUUUUUAGCAAACCUCUGGAUUGCUAAAAGGUGGAUCCCUGGAGAUAAAGAGUUUGGCUGCUCGUGAGAGCACCCCAGCCAUGCACCAGCUCUGCCUCGAGCACAGACUCCAGCCCAGGCCCUCAGGUGCCCCCUUUGACCCAGACUGGGAUUUUGGGAGGUGCUUUCUGCAGUGACAGCCCCCAGCCCCCCUAUUGCCACGAGGCUGGAGAUGCAGCCUCAGGAGCUCUGUGGCUCCUGGUGCUUUCCAGAGCAGGUGCUGCCAAACACACACUCAAAAUCUUUGUUUAACACCAUUGGAAGGUGAAAUUAUUUCCUAGAGUGUCUGCUCCCUACAUUUCUUUUUCUGUCAAGACAGCAUACCUCUCAUGUAGUUGAGUUUCCUUGCCAAGUGCCAGGCUGUCCCUGAAGGAAAGCUCCAGGUCACCCAGAAUCUAGAACAAGCUUUUCUUGAACAUUCAUCUGAGGGUAAAAGGCACCCAGAAGUCUCCUGGGUUGGUGAUGGGUGGUACUGAGAAGCAAACAUCCGGCUCCAAGGGCUCUGAGCAGGAUCUGCAGCCAGGAGUGAGGAGCAGGCUGGAUUCUACCACAGUCACCUCAGGGGCUGAGGGCAUCUCCAGACAGCUUGAGCAGAGCAGCUCAACUGGAAACAGCUUCUUCAUCAUCCCUGAUUUCCUCUAAGGUUAUUUGUGCUGGUUUUAGUGCUUGCCAGCUGCCCUGGGUGCCCCAGCAGAGCUCAAUGAACACUUUUCCACUCCCCUUGUCUCCCUGUGCUAAAUACUAUCGCUGUUCUCAGACUUUAUGGCCAUGGAGUUGUUCCUCUACAAACACCACCACUCAUGGCCCCAGCAUUAUACUUUUGGCAGGAACACGUUAGGUUUUUAUGGGAAUUAAAAAGCUCGAGUGAGAGAGAGAACCUGAACCAAAGACAACAUAAAGGGCCUUAUUUCUUUGGGUAGGAGCCCAACAAUGCUAUUAAAUAGCUCAAAGCAGAACAGAAAGCUCUCAAAUAUGCAAAGCAGAGACACCACACUCCAGUGGUUAGCUGGAAGAGAAAGGAAAUGGAGAAAGGGAAAUAUUCCAAGAGGAGAUGGCUGUAGGGGGCAUGGCUGCUGCUGAGCUCUGACCCUGCAGGUCACACAGGACUGGAUUUGGAGCUGGGCUGGAGCCUGUUUGUCCACGAGCAGCUGUGCUUGUGGCUCCCCUCUCCUCCAGCUCUGUGCACAGCCUUGCUGUGCUGCCUGAGAGAAUCCCCCAGCCAGGAGGAGUCCCUGGGAGCUGCAGCCAGGCACCUGCUCCAGGAGAGCCCCAGCUCCACCCAUGGCACGGGCAGCUCAGGGCACCCAGCUCUUCCUGCUGGAUGGAGAUGUCAGCACCCCAAAGGACCAGAAAUCACUUCUGAAGGUACAACAAGCCUUAAGAAGCGAGUUAAACGCGAAUGUUCAUUUUACCCAGGUCCUGCUGGGCCGUGGUGGCUGCGCUGUGCUGCUCCCUGCAGCUCUGAGGGCUGCAAGAGCUGCGAAAUUCUGAGAAGUUUGGGGUCGGUUCCAAGCUUUAUCACUGGCCAAACCAGUGGCUUUGAUGUGAAAUCCCAAACUCUGCGAGCAUCUGACUGUGAGCACCGAGGGCUGGUUGUGCUGCCAAGAUCAGGCGUGUGAGCCCUGGAAUAACAGCACAGCUGGGAGCCAGGGGAGGAGGGGACCUUUGCUCUCUGCUGUAAAACUGUGCAGGCUUCACCACACAGCACCUGUCUGCAUGACAAAGGUGCUGUUGAUGCAAUGAGGGGGAUUCCUAAUGGUCCAAAAGUUUUUUGUAUGUCAGAAUUGCCAGGAAUUUUUGUGGCUUGUUUUUUAAAUGGCUCCUGUGGCAUGGAUUUAGUGGCCAGCCAAGACUCAAGCCAGAGGUGGCCAGCUGAGGUGAGCCUUCUUUCCCUGGGUAUGAAAUACCUGGCUACUCAUGGAGGAAAGCACAAGUAUCUCACCCUCUGGGUUCAAACCAGAUUGGAUUGAUUCAAAUGCAUCAAAAUUGCCCUUGGCUUUGGACACAGUCUGUUUUGUAGGGUUGGAAAGGAAUGUUCUGCAUGGCCUCUGAGUGGCCACAGUGAUGAAAAGUGCAGCUAAUCACAGCUGUCAUUUAGGUGAUCAGCUAGAGAUCACACAGAGAGCUCCAGAGAGAUGAGAAGCUGCUAAACCAGGAGCCUCCUGAGGUUUUGUCCAGCUCUGGGUAAUGAGAUCAGUGUCUUGUGAACCUGGCUCUGUGACUCAGCUGGGAUCAGACACAUCACCUCUGAUGGGCUCCCUUCCCAUUGCCACUGCAGCCACCUGAGCAGAACAGCCACUUCCCAGGCAGCUCAGACACUCCAUGUGGGAAUGGAAGGCUCUUAGAACAGGUAGAAUAUUUUUAAGGAAUUCAGGCUCUGAAUUGCCUUUCCCAGGGGUUCCUGUGGGCUUUGGGGCAAUCUGAGAUCUACCUGGGCAUGUGGAACAAACACCUCUCAGGGAUUUUAUUCAUUGUACCUUUUAGAGGACCAUUUAAUGGGAAGGAUUUCCUCAUCCAGGAGAGGAUAAGAGACCAGGCAGAGGUUUCCUCAUGCUCUGGCUGCUGCAGGAGCAGCUCGGUGGGCCUGGGGUUAUCACCAGGCUGCCUCCCCUCCCGAGGGCUGGCAGUGCAAGGCACAGCUCGAAUUCCUUGGACUGUGCCUCCUCUCAGAAGGAUUUAAUAAAUGAUUAGGCAAAGCACAUGAUAAAUAUGUAAUAGAUCACUCUGAGUAUCAGUGGAAUGCUCUGGCUCGUUUCUAGGCUUGUUUAUGGCCAGGUGAUUUUAUCUCUAGUGAUGUGAUUAACUGCUUAAUGAAGUAUUUAUCAGCCAGGUUUUACCCUUUGCAAGUGGAAUAUGUUGUGUGAAGUGCAACCAAAAGCAUAAAAAUCAAUUUAACUAAUGCCUGCUGUCAUCAUCUGCUGCUCCCCAGCAGAAAACAGCCAAUCCACUCAGUCCCCUGGAUUUGUGGCAGGUAAAGCAGGGGGGCUGCAGAGCUGAAACUUCGGCAGUUUCCUCAGUGGGUGUCACCAAUGGCUGAUCACACAGCAGCAUCACGGGGGGACAGGGUUAUCCCAGCCCUGUGCCCUCAGGGAUGCCCGGGGGAAGGGAUGCUCAGGGAUUCCCAUCCCUGUCUGAGCCAGGUGUGGCUUUUCCAAAGCUCUGAGCCCAGGACAUCCCAGCCAGUGCAACCUCUCACCAAGCUGGUGCUGGCCGUGGGGAGCAGGAAAACCAAAGGAUCCUGACUUUCUAAUUACCUCCCACCCACGGCCCCUCGCCAUCCGGUGAUUAACUUAAUUGCAGUUCCAGCCCCAGAGCAGGAGCCCUGCCAGGAAGGCCAUGUCCGUGUGUCCUGUCUGGGCUCAGAGCAAGAGCAGGACACGAGCAGGAGCAGCCCUGGCUGCACACAGACCCCACAGGUCCCCCUGCCCCUGCCCAGGGUCUGAGCCCUCCCUGCCAGGGCAGGCCGGGUGUGUGGGAGCUGCUGGGUGGGGAGAUCACCUGCACAGAGAAUGAGCAGAGCUCAGUCCCUGCAGCCGGGAUGGGCUGGGGGAUGUGCUGCUGCCAGGGGACACCUCCGGGCUUUGCAGCAGAGGCAACGCAAGCACCCCGAGCUCCCUCUUCCCUCCAGGGUGCAGCAGGCCCUGUCUGCCCUUUCCAGGUGCCUUUUCCCUCUCCCAGGCUUGUGCCAAGCCUGGUGUAAAGCAUCACCACCCCUGCUCCUGUGCUUUGCUGCCUCCCAGCACGUGGGGCUGGCUGGGAGCAGCCACUGACAGGUGAGUGACACCAGUGUCACCCCUGCCACCCGAGGAGGAGGGUGGCUCUGUGCUGCUGAGGGCUCAGGGAUGAUGCAGAGGACUCAGGGAUGAUGCUGAGGACUCAGGGAUGAUGCACCGGGCACAGGAAGCUUGGUUUGGGUUUGCCCCCUGGUCAUGGGCAGGGCUGGGGUGCCUCUCCCCGCUGGCUCUGCCCGUGCUUGGCUUCCUGGGAAGGGAACCUGAGGGAGUGGAAACCAUGGGAGACGCAGCGGAUCAGGCUGAAGUGUUUGUGGGGAUGUGGGAAUCCCCUGGGGGCAGGGGGCACGCCGUGUGCCCCUUGGCUCCUUCGGGGGGCCAGCAGGGGGUCCCACCCCUCCCUGCCGGGGACACUGCAGUGACCUGUCCACUGUCCCCGUGCCUGCCACCCGCGCUGUCCGGGCAGGACGCUGGGCACGGAGCCAGACCACAGAGCCCGGCUGUGGCUGUCUGGGCUGGCGCUGCAGGUGUGGCUGCCCCGCACACCCACGGACGGACGGACGGACGGACGGACGGCGCCGAGUGACAAACGCUCCAAAAAGUUCCCUCUGUGCUGUGAGUCCCGGCUGUGACCUGGCUCUGCUGUUGCACCGUGUCCGUGUGAGCCCUGCAGGGCCAGCCCUGCUCAGGAGCCUGUCCGUCUGUCCUGGCAGCCUCUGCCAGCCCUCGGCGCCUCCCAGGCUGCUGCUGGUGCUCGGGGCAGGAGCUGGGAGUGACGAGCAGGAGUGCUCACAGGGGUCAGGCUGCCCCUCCUGCAGCUGGCCUCUGCAGGGGGGCCAAGCCCAGCCGAGGGCUGGCUCCAGCUUCACAACUGGGGCUGGAGUUUGGGCCCAGCCUUUAGAGCCUGUCCUGCCCCAGAGAGGCAGGGCAUGCUGGAAUCGAGGGUUCCCUCCCCAGGCCAAGUGAAAGCCCACAUCCAUCCUGCUGGUUAACCAUCACUAGACAUACCAUGGCUCAGAAAUCCAACUCCCUCCAGCACAGCCUCGGUCUGGGCUGUUCCAAGGAAAAUCACUUGGUUUCUGGGCUCACCAAAGGCUCAGCAGUGAUUUUCUCUGGAAAUGUGCAGGCAGUUAGUGGUGUUCAUCAUCAGUGUUUGUGUAAGGGCUGUACAGCUGCUCUUUUUAACAUCUAAGCAAGCCUAGCUGGAGGAAUCCUGCUCUUAAUUCUGUUGCCCAAUGUCUUAUUUUAAAUUCAGUCUCCAGUACCCCUGGAUAGCAGCUCCACUUUUUUCCUCCAAGCUGCCUGAGUAAGGAGCUUAAGCUGUUGCUCAAUAGCAGUGUGAUAAAAGCUUCAGUUAAUAAUGGCUAUUUCCAGGCAAAUCCUCCAAUAAAUAAUUUUCUUAUCUGCGUGACUUUGGGACUGGAGAAAACGCCUUCCAGUGAAAAGCAGCAGCAUGCAGGAGUGGGCAAGGAGUGUUUCAGAUGAAAGAUCAGAACAGGGCAAGCUCAGGGCUGAAUCUUGCUAAAAGGAGAUGAGUGGGUCAGCAAAAAAAACCUGGAAUUAGUGUGGCUAAAUAGACACUGGAGUAAACUAAGGAGAGCAGCUGUGCCUCUCCACCUCCUGUGGUCUAAAGGCAGACAGGUCACUGCUGGCCUGUGCUCUUCAGGCAGAAAUGGGGGGAUUCUUGUGGCAGUGGGUGGCUCUGGAGGCUCUCUGUGUGUCACCCUCAUCUCUGGCCUGGGAAGGAGCCCGGGUCACUCACUGGGACCUGCCAGGGCCCAUGGAAGGUGCAGCCCUAACUGUGCUCCUGCUGUCGCAGACGGGCACAGCCGUGCCCCUGCAGAGCUGGGCACCUGCUUGCUCCUUGCUGCGACAGGUGUGACCUCAGGCUGUGUGACAGCAGCAGCAGCAGGCAGUGCACGCUGCCCCGAGGAAAACACAGCCUGCCUGGGUUUCCAUUACAGAGCCCUGGGGGGAAGGGGAUGAGUUUGGGUGCUCUCCUCCCCUUCCCAUCUCUGUAAACAGCAGAGCACCACAAAGGGCACAAGGCUGCAAUUUUAACACCCUGCUGAGGCUCAGCCCCUGAGGUUUCACCCACGCUGGCUAUUUGCAGCCCCUGAGUGGGCAGUUCAGAGACACCACGGCCUUUGUUGUGCCCGUGUUUCCACAGCUGCUCUGGGGCCAGGCUGGCCCACGGGGAUGCAGCCAAGGAUCAUGGAAUCACAGGGUGGUCUGCCUUGGAAGGGACCUUAAAACUCAUCCAGUGCCACCCCUGCCAUGGCAGAGACAUGUCCCACUGUGCCAGGCUGCUCCAAACCCAUCCAGCCUGGCCUUGGCACUG